GCCAGGUGUGGUGGUGUGCGCCUGUAAUCCCAGCUAUGGGGAGGCUGAGGCAGGAGAAUCACUUGAACCCAGGAGGCAGAGGUUGCAGUGAGCCAAGAUCACGCCACUGCACUCCAGCCUGGGUGACAGAGUGAGACUCCGUCUCAA
rnacentral:SRP_RNA from 1 species